ensembl:lncRNA
AAAUAGAGUCAGCUCAGUAGAAAUAAAGAGGGUCUCUGCUGGAAGAAAUUGAAGUACAGCAGGUUAGGAAAAUAUGAAUAUAAACCUUCCUGAUGGUGAAAGAGGAGAAAGAUGUGUGCAGAACCUCCCCGUUCUAAGCUGAAGACUAGAUGGGUGCUUAAGGCUUCAGUUCCCCGGCACAGGGCUCGCUGCUCAUUACAACAGCCCUGACUAGAAGCUCACGGGGCGAGGAGGACGACGAUGCCUCAUUCCCAGUGAAGGGGAAGGGGUGCAGAGCCCGUGCUGCCUCUGGUGAGAUCUGCAGUAGCCUUCAGCUGUCAGUCAUUCUCAUUUGUUCUGCCAUUGAGCUUACCGGGAUUACUGGGGUGCUUAAAGCUAAGCAAAAACGCAGAUGUUUGCAAGGUGAAGGCCCAAGAGGCUUUUAAGAGCACAGGCUGUAGUUAAUUGCUUCUGCCAGGACAGAGCAGUUGGGGGUAUUUAAAACUCAACAGGAGUAAUAGUAAGAGCUCCCUCUCUAGAAGUAGAGCUUGUUAUAAUAGUGUUCAGAAGAAUUUGUUAGUUCAAAGAAACUGUAGCCUGAAAGACACAGACUUUAUCCUUCUAUUCAUAUUUUAAUGCUUUAUCAAACUAAUAGAUUCACAUUUGUUUGCACUGUUCUCUCUGGGAGGUCAUUAAACAAAUUUCUGUCAGUGGAGUGCUGUGAACUGCUCAUCUUCUGCCCCUUGCUGGUGUUUCAUGUGCUGGAGAAACAUUGCUUUCUUUUAUUUUUUAAAUGUCUUUGCUUGACUUUUUCCUUUUGUGAUGAAGCAACUGUAAUUUGUACAAAUUAUGCAGCUGAUUUAAUUUAUGGUGAAUAAUUUUCUUACAGAUUUUGUAACUAGAUGCUAAUAAAUUUCUUCCGUGCUUCAUAUAGCAAACUCUCUCAUUCCUAAACUUAAUUGCUAUGCUACAAUACACUAAAAAAUAACUAAAAGAGAUCUGUUAAGUUAAACUUAUAUACAUAUACUAUACACAAAUAUAAUAUUAAACAAAUAUAUGU